rnacentral:rRNA from 1 species
GACGAACGCUGGCGGCGUGCCUAAUACAUGCAAGUAGAACGCACAGUUUAUACCGUAGCUUGCUACACCAUAGACUGUGAGUUGCGAACGGGUGAGUAACGCGUAGGUAACCUGCCUGGUAGCGGGGGAUAACUAUUGGAAACGAUAGCUAAUACCGCAUAAUAUUAAUUAUUGCAUGAUAAUUGAUUGAAAGGUGCAAUUGCACCACUACCAGAUGGACCUGCGUUGUAUUAGCUAGUAGGUGAGGUAACGGCUCACCUAGGCGACGAUACAUAGCCGACCUGAGAGGGUGAUCGGCCACACUGGGACUGAGACACGGCCCAGACUCCUACGGGAGGCAGCAGUAGGGAAUCUUCGGCAAUGGACGAAAGUCUGACCGAGCAACGCCGCGUGAGUGAAGAAGGUUUUCGGAUCGUAAAGCUCUGUUGUAAGAGAAGAACGGGUG